rnacentral:rRNA from 1 species
GUCGAACGCUGGCGGCGUGCCUAAUACAUGCAAGUCGAACGCAGUGGGGACGGGUGAGUAACACGUGGGUAACCUCCCAUCAGAGGGGAUAACACUUGGAAACAGGUGCUAAACCGAUACUGAUUGAUGGACCCGCGGUGCAUUAGCUAGUUGGUGAGGUAACGGCUCACCAAGUCCACGAUGCAUAGCCGGCCUGAGAGGGUGACCGGCCACACUGGGACUGAGACACGGUCCAGACUCCUACGGGAGGCAGCAGUGGGGAAUCUUCGGCAAUGGACGAAAGUCUGACCGAGCAAUGCCGCGUGAGUGAAGAAGGUUUUCGGAUCGUAAAACACUGUUGUCAGAGAGGCGGUAUCGAACCAGAAAGCCACGGCUAACUACGUGCCAGCAGCCGCGGUAAUAC